rnacentral:rRNA from 1 species
CAGCCGCCGCGGGAAUACAGAGGGUGCGAGCGUUAAUCGGAUUUACUGGGCGUAAAGCGUGCGUAGGCGGCUUUUUAAGUCGGAUGUGAAAUCCCUGAGCUUAACUUAGGAAUUGCAUUCGAUACUGGGAAGCUAGAGUAUGGGAGAGGAUGGUAGAAUUCCAGGUGUAGCGGUGAAAUGCGUAGAGAUCUGGAGGAAUACCGAUGGCGAAGGCAGCCAUCUGGCCUAAUACUGACGCUGAGGUACGAAAGCAUGGGGAGCAAACAGGAUUAGAUACCCCGUAGUCCCUGUCUCUUAUACU